CCUACGGGAGGCAGCAGUAGGGAAUAUUGCGCAAUGGACGGAAGUCUGACGCAGCGACGCCGCGUGAGCGAUGAAGGUCUUCGGAUCGUAAAGCUCUGUCCUUGGGGAAGAAGGCGAAAGCUUGACGGUACCCAAGAAGAAAGCCCCGGCUAACUACGUGCCAGCAGCCGCGGUAAUACGUAGGGGGCGAGCGUUGUCCGGAAUUACUGGGCGUAAAGGGUGCGUAGGCGGCCCUUUAAGUCGGAUGUGAAAGCCCGCGGCUUAACCGCGGAAUGGCAUUCGAAACUGGAGGGCCUGAGUGUCGGAGAGGGUAGUGGAAUUCCCAGUGUAGCGGUGAAAUGCGUAGAUAUUGGGAGGAACACCAGUGGCGAAGGCGACUACCUGGACGAUAACUGACGCUGAGGCACGAAAGCUAGGGGAGCAAACAGGAUUAGAUACCCUGGUAGUCCUAGCCGUAAACGAUGGGUACUAGGUGUGGGUGGUUUCGAUACCAUCCGUGCCGUAGUUAACGCAUUAAGUACCCCGCCUGGGGAGUACGUGCGCAAGCAUGAAACUCAAAGGAAUUGACGGGGGCCCGCACAAGCGGUGGAGCAUGUGGUUUAAUUCGAAGCAACGCGAAGAACCUUACCAGGUCUUGACAUCACCUAGCAAGCCAUGGAAACAUGGCCCUCCUUCGGGACUGGGUGACAGGUGGUGCAUGGUUGUCGUCAGCUCGUGUCGUGAGAUGUUGGGUUAAGUCCCGCAACGAGCGCAACCCUUGCCUUUAGUUGCCAGCAUUAAGUUGGGGACUCUAAAGG
rnacentral:rRNA from 1 species